rnacentral:misc_RNA from 1 species
GUACUUUUGUCUGCAUUUUGAAGCCUUCCAGCUUUGGAUGGCACUGUUUAUAUGGCAUUCCUUCAUUUUAUUUAUGGGACAGGAGUGUGUAAUUACAGCUACAGCCUGGAGGUUGGGGGAAAUAGCCGGAAAUUCAUUUGGGAAGUUACCUCACGAAGCUUUAGAGAUAGCCACAUGAAGGUUAGGGAUAGCCAUGAUGGCCUCAUUGUAAGAGGAAUAUGGCACUUUUCUUCUGUGGAGGGGAUAGGAAAGAGUUAAAGCUUCGAGUGACAGGGCGAGUAUGGAAAGAACAGUAGAACCCUAGUAUGCAUAGGUUGGCUAGUGUUCUCUCUCUCAUUCUCUCUCUCU